rnacentral:lncRNA from 1 species
GGAAAUGGCUCUUUACCCUUAACAAUCUGAGUAGAUAAGGAUCACUAGCUGCCAGAGAACCUGCUUUUCUGAGUAGUGAUGUAAAGCCAGCAGGGCUGGUGACAAGGGCUUGCCUUUCCUAGGCAGGAUUCAUCCCAGGAGAGAGUGGUGCACAGCAGUCAACAGCUCUGGCAGUGCUGCAGCUGAAUAAGCAUGAGCCUGGGGUGCUUCCUAACCUCUGUAGCGAUUUCAGCAAAAAUCUAUGACUUACCAACACCAGGCUUCAGCUUCUCUGUGUGUAAUGACUUCAAACAAUGUGGGUUUGCAGGAGGCUUCAACAAAGCAGAGCUUGCCACUACUCACAGCAGAAUUUCUGUCACCGGCAGAAGUUAUUAUAUUCACACAGGGAAAGACAUUAGCUUAAAGGUUGGUGUUUUUGUUUGUUUGCAAGUCAAGGGUGGAAAUUUUCAAAGCAGCACAACGGACCAAAUUAACUGUCUCCCAUUAAUGGAAUGUGAAGUUGCUGAAAGCAGCUGA